AGAGGAUGGGAGGGAGGAGUAACAAAAGUGAAAACAAAAACUAAAAACUGAAAUCUAUUUCAAAUUGUUUUCACUUUCAAGAUUUUGUUUUCACUUUUGUUACUCCUCCCUCUCAUCUUCCCCU
rnacentral:miRNA from 1 species